UUGUUUUGGUCUCUACUGGUCUUGCAUACACUCCAGAUGUGAAAAAAAAUCAUCCAGCCCCUUUCUGUGAGUCACCAGGCGAAAUUUGACACCGCCUCCUGUGAGCCAGUUAGCAGUUCCCCACCUGUGUGACGUGAUAUAGGGGCCGACCAAUGAGGGUGCUGCCCGGCGGUGUCCAGGCCUGCCCCCAACGGAAAUCCCCACCCACUAAUUCAUGGAGUGAAGAACCUGCGUGUCCGCCAUUGUUGUAUCUUAGCUUCAUCGCUAACGGGAACCGAGCUAUGGCAAGCAAAAGCAAAAAAGGGUGUUUUGUUGUCGGUUGUGGGGAACCACACAAGUCUGUGCAUCUUCUUCCAACUGACCAGAGAAAAUCUGCGUGGCUAAAUUUCAUCUUUGAUGGCAAGAUUCCACCAACACUUGGAAAACAAAUUACAGUGUGUGCAAACCAUUUAGCUGAAGACUGCUUUGGAAACUUGGGACAAUACCAUGCAGGAUUGGCACACAGACUUCGCCUUACCGAGGACACGGUCCCAACUAUCCGUGAUGUGUCGACAGGUAAAGGACCUGCUCCAGCCCAGCCACAUCUGAUUCCUCCCACAAGAGAGGUCGCCUGUCGAACCACCAGAGAAACGAACCGCUGGCACCCAACUGUCCAUACGUACACUUGGACCUCACUUGGACACACUGGAUAAUACCCUGGAUGUGCACCCUUCAACUGUUCCAUGCGGCUUGUAACCUAUAAGUAACAGACCAGCCAGAUCGGAUUCAGCCAGAAACAGAAGUCUACUGUCGAACUGACCCACCUGUGACCUGAAGAAUGGAACCUGACUGAAAGUGCUGACCUGGUAUACAGCUGUCUAUGAGCCCUCCAUUUCAAUGAGAAUGCUGCACGAGACCAGGCCACCACGUCCACAGAUCCCCUCUACAGGAUCCAUUACUCCAAUGCCAUGAAAGGGGAGGCAAGAGUGAAGCCCGUAUAAAAUGAGGCAACAUCUGGAUGCGUUGAAGACGUGGGCCUGAGAAGGAGGGGGUGAUCACCAGCUGCAUCUUCCGCUUCAACGCAGGGGAGGCAGUCUGAAGCCCAUGUAU